rnacentral:rRNA from 1 species
GUCUACGACCAUACCACGUUGAAAGCACGACAUCUCGUCCGAUCUGUCAAGUUAAGCAACGUUGGGCCUGGUUAGUACUUGGAUCGGAGACGG